AAGGCAGUUUGUUCUAUCGCUCCGCGAAUAUUCGCGGGGAGGAAAGUCGGGACAGCACAGGGUACCAUGCUUCCUAACGGGAAGGUCCGCCACUGGCGGAACAGCAAGUGCCACAGAAAAUAACCGCCUGCAGCAGAAUACCGGCAAGGUUAGCCUUCGCCGGGAACUUCUGCAGGUAAGGGUGAAAAUGUGAGGUAAGAGCUCACGUCGCGGCAUGGCAACAUGCCGGGAGGGUAAACCUCAUGGGCUGCAAGACCAAAUAAGUUCCGGACAGGGCGACCCGUCCUCUCCUUCGGGAACCGGAACGGGUAGGUUGCUACAGAUCGCGGGUGACCGUGAUCGCAGAUAAAUGAUAGAAAUUCCGCCUCCGGGCGGAAGACAGAAUCCCGCUUACAGAACUGCCUUGGGA
rnacentral:RNase_P_RNA from 1 species